AAAAAAAAAAGGUGUUAACAUCCCCUCCUUCCAGAUGCACUGAGCGGCGAGUUUAUACAGCCCAGCCCGUGCCUCCUGCUGUUCACUUAAAUGGGAGCUGGAGUACCUGGAAAGCUGGUGCUGGUUACAGGUACACAUGGUGACAGGAGUUUGAUUUUAUUUCAACACUUUUUAAAAGCUUUUUAUUCCAUUGCUUCAAUUUAUCUAAAUUCUUUCAUGAGAGGAUCUGAAAGUAAAGGAUAGAAAGAAAAUAGAAGAUUCAAGAACUAUACCAUCCCCUUAAACAUGGAAGAAUAUGAAAUAGGGAAAAAUUUACAUUAUCACAUUCACAUGGAAAAGUCAAGAAAACAUUUUCCAAAAAUUUCCUUGCUAGAAAUCUAAUGCCACAGUUGUUUUUCAAUUUUUUUUUUUUUUUGAGCUUCUACAGCCUGUUGUAUUUAAUGUUUAGAAUUCAAAAGUAAAGUUGUAUUUAUUAACUUGGAUAUUUCCUGUCUGAUACUUAAUUAGAUCCAUUUUGAAUGGAUUUUAAAAAAUCAUAUGAAUAUUCAGACUGCCACUAUGAAGUAUUCACUCUUGAAUGCAGUUUUUGCACCAGAAGUACGUUGGUAUGUAAGUCAGUCCAGUUUGGAAGGCCAUCUCUUAAAAUCACAAAUAAUAGCUUAAAACCUGCCUGAGAAUAUGAGGCCCUACUGGAUUCCCAUAAUAAUAAGGGCUUUCUUUCAGACCAGAUGGUACUUCUGGGACAGUAUCACUCCUGGUUCCAUCCUUCUUUUAUAUAAAAUGUAGUUAACCAUAUACAUAUAAUGCUUUUAUGGGGCUUCAACUAUAUAGCUUUAGGUAUUAUUUUUUUGAGAGAUUCAGUUUAACUCUUUUCUGUGUUUAAUGCACAUCUUCAGCAACUUGCUUUAGUUUUUUUUGACUCUGAAGUACAAUUAUGUCUGACUUUUCCAGGUCAAAAAGUGCAAGUUACACCACAAAGGUACAGUUGUCAGAAGUACUACUAUAUAUUAAUAAGCUUUAACACAAAUAAAAAAGCUUAACUGCCUAGGUUUUGAUUGUUGGUGAAAUUUUUUCAUGGUAAAAUUUCAUAAAAGAUCUCUAGAUAAGCAGAUAAUCUUCAAUCUUUCAAUCCUGAAAUAAGUUUCUCCACUUCCAGUACACCUAUAUUAGAAGUUUAAACUUCAGCCCAUGACUAACACUGCCAGCUGUCAGAAAUAAGUAUGUUCAGGUUUCUUUUUUAUACAGUUUGUCCUUUGCACAAAUUUCAAAACACACUAUUGACUCCAACAACAGUUUUGAAGUAAUUUUCUUUGUCUACACAAUUUAAAAUAACAGCUCUAUAGUUAGUCGUU